rnacentral:sRNA from 1 species
GCUGGGUGUGAGGGUGCACGCCUGUAAUCCCAGCCACUUGGGAGGCUGAGGCAGGAGGAUCCCAAGUCAAAGCCAGUUUCACCAACUUAGCCAGACCCUGUCUCAA